rnacentral:rRNA from 1 species
UACGGAAGGCAGCAGUGGGGAAUAUUGCACAAUGGGCGAAAGCCUGAUGCAGCUAUGCCGCGUGUAUGAAGAAGGCCUUAGGGUUGUAAAGUACUUUCAUCGGGGAGGAAAAAACAAAACUAAUAAUUUUAUUUCUUGACGUUACCCGAAAAAGAAGCACCGGCUAACUCCGUGCCAGCAGCCGCGGUAAUACGGAGGGUGCUAGCGUUAAUCAGAAUUACUGGGCGUAAAGAGCGCGUAGGUGGUUUUUUUAAGUCAGAUGUGAAUCCCUGGGCUUAACCUGGAACUGCAUUUUGAAACUGAAAUACUAGAGUAUCGUAGAGGGAGGUAGAAUUCUAGGUGUAGCGGUGAAAUGCGUAGAUAUCUGGAGGAAUACCUGUGGCGAAAGCGGCCUCCUAAACGAAUACUGACACUGAGGUGCGAAAGCGUGGGGAGCAAACAGGGAUUAGAUACC